GUACUGAUGAAGAGUCCUGAUCUAGGACGAAACAGCUGUCCAGUAC
rnacentral:hammerhead_ribozyme from 1 species